GAUGAAGAACGCAGCGAAAUGCGAUAAGUAAUGUGAAUUGCAGAAUUCAGUGAAUCAUCGAAUCUUUGAACGCACAUUGCGCCCGCCAGUAUUAUGGCGGGCAUGCCUGUCUGAGCGUCAUUUCAACCCUCAUGCCCCUAGGGCGUGGUGUUGGGGAUCGGCCAAAGCCCGCGAGGGACGGCCGGCCCCUAAAUCUAGUGGCGGACCCGUCGUGGCCUCCUCUGCGAAGUAGUGAUAUUCCGCAUCGGAGAGCGAUGAGCCCCUGCCGUUAAACCCCCAACUUUCCAAGGUUGACCUCAGAUCAGGUAGGAAUACCCGCUGAACUUAAGCAUAUCAAUAAGCGGAGGA
rnacentral:misc_RNA from 1 species